rnacentral:tRNA from 1 species
GCAGACAUAGUUUAAUCAAAAUGUUAGAUUGUGAUUCUGAAGACAGAGGUUAAAGCCCUCUUGUCCGCC